rnacentral:rRNA from 1 species
UACGUAGGUGACCAGCAUUGUCCGGAUUUACUGGGCGUAAAGCGCACGUAGGCGGACUCUUAAGUCGGUGGUGAAAUCCUGGAGCUCAACUCCAGAACUGCCUUCGAUACUGGGAGUCUCGAGUCCGGGAGAGGUGAGUGGAACUGCGAGUGUAGAGGUGAAAUUCGUAGAUAUUCGCAAGAACCCCGGUGGCGAAAGCGGCCAACUGGACCAUUACUGACGCUGAGGCGCGAAAGCGUGGGGAGCAAACAGG